rnacentral:rRNA from 1 species
UACGUAGGGGGCAAGCGUUGUCCGGAUUUAUUGGGCGUAAAGAGCGUGUAGGCGGCUAGGUAGGUCCGUUGUGAAAACUCGAGGCUCAACCUCGAGACGCCGAUGGAAACCAUCUGGCUAGAGUCCGGAAGAGGAGAGUGGAAUUCCUGGUGUAGCGGUGAAAUGCGCAGAUAUCAUGUGGAACACCAGUGGCGAAGGCGGUGGUCUGGGCCGGAACUGACGCUGUAGAGCGAAAGCGUGGGGAGCGAACAGG